UUAAGCGGAGGAAAAGAAACUAACCAGGAUUUCCCUAGUAGCGGCGAGCGAACAGGAAAGAGCCCAGCACCGAAUCCCGCGGUUCCGCCGCAGGGAAAUGUGGUGUUCGGGAGGGUCCGUUUAUCCCGAGGUGCCGCGUCGCGUCCAAGUCCAUCUUGAAUGGGGCCAAUUACCCGCAGAGGGUGCCAGGCCUGUAGCGACCGGUGCGCGCCUCGGGAGGAUCUCUCCUUAGAGUCGGGUUGCUUGAGAGUGCAGCUCUAAGUGGGUGGUAAACUCCAUCUAAGGCUAAAUACGACCACGAGACCGAUAGCGAACAAGUACCGUGAGGGAAAGUUGAAAAGAACUUUGA
rnacentral:rRNA from 5 species